rnacentral:rRNA from 1 species
GACGAACGCUGGCGGCGUGCUUAACACAUGCAAGUCGAGCGGGAACCUCGGCAGGGGUAACCCUUCCGAGGGGAGAGCGGCGAACGGGUGAGUAACACGUGGGCAACCUGCCCCGGACACCGGGAUAACCCACGGGAAACCUGAGCUAAUACCGGAUACUCCGGCACGAUCGCAUGGUCGUGCCGGGAAAGCUCCGACGGUCCGGGAUGGGCCCGCGGCCUAUCAGCUUGUUGGUGAGGUAACGGCCCACCAAGGCGACGACGGGUAGCUGGUCUGAGAGGACGGCCAGCCACACUGGGACUGAGACACGGCCCAGACUCCUACGGGAGGCAGCAGUGGGGAAUCUUGCGCUAAUGCGCGAAAGCGUGACGCAGCGACGCCGCGUGGGGAUGAAGGCCCUCGGGUUGUAAACCCCUUUCGCCAGGGAAGAAGGGAAACUGCGGUACCUGGAGAAGAAGUCCCGGCUAACUACGUGCCAGCCGCCGCGGUAAC